AUUGAACGCUGGCGGCAGGCUUAACACAUGCAAGUCGAGCGGAGAUGAGGUGCUUGCACCUUAUCUUAGCGGCGGACGGGUGAGUAAUGCUUAGGAAUCUGCCUAUUAGUGGGGGACAACAUUCCGAAAGGAAUGCUAAUACCGCAUACGUCCUACGGGAGAAAGCAGGGGAUCUUCGGACCUUGCGCUAAUAGAUGAGCCUAAGUCGGAUUAGCUAGUUGGUGGGGUAAAGGCCUACCAAGGCGACGAUCUGUAGCGGGUCUGAGAGGAUGAUCCGCCACACUGGGACUGAGACACGGCCCAGACUCCUACGGGAGGCAGCAGUGGGGAAUAGUGGACAAUGGGGGGAACCCUGAUCCAGCCAUGCCGCGUGUGUGAAGAUGGCCUUAUGGUUGUAAAGCACUUUAAGCGAGGAGGAGGCUACUGAGACUAAUACUCUUGGAUAGUGGACGUUACUCGCAGAAUAAGCACCGGCUAACUCUGUGCCAGCCGCCGCAGUAA
rnacentral:rRNA from 1 species